GAUAGAUGUGGCUAAUGAAUUUGGCGUUCCGUCUUACUUUUUCUGUACGUCAGGUGCAGCUUUUCUUGGUUUUGUGCUUUAUGAGCAGAAGAUCCACGAUGAGGCAGAAUUUGACGCCAUUCAGUUCAAGGAUUCAGAUACCGAGUUAUUAGUGCCGUGUUUGAUAAAUCCAUUUCCUGCUAGAAGUACGCCUUCUGCGAUGUUAAACAAAGAGCGGCUUCCUUAUUUACGUAACGCAGCAAGAAGGUUUAGAGAAGCUAAGGGU
rnacentral:misc_RNA from 1 species